GACGAACGCUGGCGGCGUGCUUAACACAUGCAAGUCGAACGGAAAGGCCCUGCUUUUGUGGGGUGCUCGAGUGGCGAACGGGUGAGUAACACGUGAGUAACCUGCCCUUGACUUUGGGAUAACUUCAGGAAACUGGGGCUAAUACCGGAUAGGAGCUCCUGCUGCAGGGUGGGGGUUGGAAAGUUUCGGCGGUUGGGGAUGGACUCGCGGCUUAUCAGCUUGUUGGUGGGGUAGUGGCUUACCAAGGCUUUGACGGGUAGCCGGCCUGAGAGGGUGACCGGCCACAUUGGGACUGAGAUACGGCCCAGACUCCUACGGGAGGCAGCAGUGGGGAAUAGUGCACAAUGGGCGGAAGCCUGAUGCAGCAACGCCGCGUGCGGGAUGACGGCCUUCGGGUUGUAAACCGCUUUCGCCUGUGACGAAGCGUGAGUGACGGUAAUGGGUAAAGAAGCACCGGCUAACUACGUG
rnacentral:rRNA from 1 species